rnacentral:rRNA from 1 species
UACGAAGGGGGCAAGCGUUGUUCGGAAUGACUGGGCGUAAAGGGCGCGUAGGCGGUGCGUUGCGUCAGAUGUGAAAUCCCCGGGCUCAACCUGGGAAUGGCAUUUGAUACGGGCGUACUGGAAUCCGUGAGAGGUUGGUGGAAUUCCCAGUGUAGAGGUGAAAUUCGUGGAUAUUGGGAAGAACACCAGUGGCGAAGGCGGCCAACUGGCACGGUAUUGACGCUGAGGCGCGAAAGCGUGGGGAGCAAACAGG